AAGAUGAGAUUUCCCAUCAUUUUAAAUGAGUAAGAUCCCUUGUAGACGACAAGGUUGAUAGGUCCGAGGUGGAAGCGUGGUGACACGUGCAGCUGACGGAUACUAAUAGAUCGAGGACUUAACUAAAA
rnacentral:rRNA from 1 species